CUUGACGAUCAUAGAGCGUUGGAACCACCUGAUCCCUUCCCGAACUCAGUAGUGAAACGACG
rnacentral:rRNA from 1 species